GACGAACGCUGGCGGCGUGCUUAACACAUGCCAGUCGAUCGGAAAGGCCCUGCUUUGUGGGGUGCUCGAGUGGCGAAUGGGUGAGUAACACGUGAGUAACCUGCCCUUGACGUUGGGAUAACUUCAGGAAAGUGGGGCUAAUAUCGGAUAGGAGCUCCUGCUGCAUGGUGGGGGUUGGAAUGUUUCGGUGGUUGGGGUUUGACUCGGGGCUUAUCGGUUUGUUGGUGGGGUGGUGCCGUACCCAGGCUUGGACGGGUAGCCGGCCUGAAAGGGAGACCGGUCCAAUUAGGUAUGAGAGACGGCCCAGACUCCGACGGGAGGCAGCAGUGGGGAAUAUUGCACAAUGGGCGGGAGCCUGGUGCAGCAAGGCCGCGUGCGGGAUGACGGCCUUCGGGUUGUGAACCGCUUUCGCCUGUGACGAAGCGUGUGUGACGGUAAUGGGUAAAGAAGCACCUGCUAACUACGUGC
rnacentral:rRNA from 1 species